UACCCUGAUGACGUCCCUUACACCUACCAGAAAUGUCACCUCAACUGUCUGACGUCGUUCAUUAAGAGGAAGUGUGGCUGUGUCAGCAUCUACAUGCCUGGAAAGGACGUAUCAUACUGCACCUUGCUUGAAAACCUGCAAUGUGUGAGACCAAAUGAAGAGUUAUUCUACAGAAACAACGAAAUCAGGACGUGUGACUGCCGCACUCCAUGUCACUCUGCCAGCUACAUGGCCUCGCUCUCUCUCGUCCAGUU